rnacentral:rRNA from 1 species
CUCGUAGGCGGCCAACUAAGUCAGACGUGAAAUCCCUCGGCUUAACCGGGGAACUGCGUCUGAUACUGGAUGGCUUGAGUUUGGGAGAGGGAUGCGGAAUUCCAGGUGUAGCGGUGAAAUGCGUAGAUAUCUGGAGGAACACCGGUGGCGAAGGCGGCAUCCUGGACCAACACUGACGCUGAUGAGCGAAAGCCAGGGAGCAAACG